UACGUAUGGACCGAGCGUUGUCCGGAAUCAUUGGGCGUAAAGGGUACGUAGGCGGCCUAGUAAGUUAGAAGUGAAAGAAUAUAGCUCAACUAUAUAAAGCUUUUAAAACUGUUAGGCUUGAGAGAUGAAAGGGAAAGUGGAAUUCCUAGUGUAGCGGUGAAAUGCGCAGAUAUUAGGAAGAAUACCGGUGGCGAAGGCGACUUUCUGGUCAUCAUCUGACGCUGAGGUACGAAAGCGUGGGUAGCAAACAGG
rnacentral:rRNA from 1 species